rnacentral:tRNA from 1 species
GCCUUAUUAGUUUAAUGAGAAUGUUGAUUUGUGAUAUCAGAGGUAUAUAAAUAAAAUAUAUGGGGCU